GCCUCUUUUCAGCUAACGUUGCA
rnacentral:siRNA from 1 species